UCUUGCCACCUGGCAGCUCAAGGGCCUGCCAUUGCUUCCAAGUUGUUAUGCAACCAAUUGAGAACUCUAAGAACUCAUAUGCAAAGCCAACUUUAACUGGAAUGGGCACAUAAUAUGUCAGUACGAUAGGUUAUAAACCUCAAGUCGUGUGCUAGUGAAGAAUUUCAGGUUUUAUUCUUGAUUAGUUCUUGAGACUUUCAAGACCGUUAAGACUCCUACUGUCCUCUUGACAUAUCAGACUUCCUUGUCAAACAUCCAAGAGAUAGUGCGGAUUCUAAUCAAGAAAAACACUUUACCCAAUUGGCCUAAGUUGGUCUUUGUUUUAUCCAAAACAUCACAACUUACCAAUUUCAAAUGUACAAGAGUAGAAAACUUUUACUCUUACAUUUGACAAGUGUUUUAAACCUUCUUUAAGACAUGUCACUCAAAUUACAAUCUUAGAGUAUGACUUUAAGACUUGUAUUGGAACGAAGUAUGACUCAUCUUCUUGAUUUAGCCACUUCACCAAUUCAUAGUUCCUCUUCUUGGCUAUAAGAAAGCACUUAGAGGAUGAAUUGUGAUAAGGUCUCUAAAUCAUUAAGAUGAUCAUAAAAACUGAUACGAACGUACUCUCCCAUAUUUUCAUAAGGUCUCUAAAUCAUUGCUUCCAAGUUGUUAUGCAACCAAUUGAGAACUCUAAGAACUCAUAUGCAAAGCCAACUUUAACUGGAAUGGGCACAGAAUAUGUCAGUACGAUAGGUUAUAAACCUCAAGCCGUGUGCUAGUGAAGAAUUUCAGGUUUUAUUCUUGAUUAGUUCUUGAGACUUUCAAGACUGUUAAGACUCCUACUGUCCUCUUGACAUAUCAGACUUCCUUGUUAAAUGUUCAAGGGAUGGUGUGGAUUCUAAUCAAGACAAACACUUCACAAAAUUGGCCUAGGUUGGUCUUUGUUUUAUCCAAAACAUCACAACUUACCAAUUUCAAAUGUACAAGAGUAGAAAACUUUUACUCUUACAUUUGACAAGUGUUUUAAACCUUCUUUAAGACAUGUCACUCAAAUUACAAUCUUGGAGUAUGACUCUAAGACUUGUAUUGGAACGAAGUAUGACUCAUCUUCUUGAUUUAACCACUUCAACAAUUCAAGAUCCCUCUUCUUAGUCAUAAGAAUGCACUAAGAUUUCCUUAGAGAACUAAUUGUGCUAUGGUUUCUUAAUCAUUAAGAUGAUCACAAAACUGAUACUAAAGUACUCUCCCAUCUUUUCAGAUUUGAGAAACUUUUAUCCUUCUGCCUAAUUUGAUUCUUCUUAUUCGCUCUGCCUUACAUUGGAACCUUUUCCAAUGUCUCAGAGUUACACUUAAGCUUGUAAGUAUAAUCAUAUUUACUGAGCUUUAGUAAACUAUGACGAAUAGUCUUAUCAAUCUUUUGUGGUGGACUUAAUCAGUGCACAAGAAUGUGUACUCGAUCCCUUAGUCCUUUACUUGACUCACACAUCCAUGUGGCCGAGUAAUUAGUCUUAAUUUUCCAAAACUUGAAAGUUCUCAUUCAUCAUGCUAUACAACUUGCAUGAUUCCAAGUUCCGGUCCAAUUGAAACUUGGGUGAUGAGAAUCUUUCCUUAUUUGGUAAAUCUAGACAUUACCACAAAUGAAAGAAUCAAUUUCAUAUUUCCACUCUUGCUCUUAAUGGAAUCAUAUAAGCAACAAUUUUUCCUCAAAAGCCAUUGUAAGGAUAUUUUAAAAUAAAUAAAAUCAAAAAUUUUCUUUUAUUUUAAAACUUUGCGGAAAAACUUAUCCUUACAAUCCAUAUGAAAACUUGUUGUUAUCUAUUCCUAAGCAAUAUCUCAUAACUCCUAAGAAGUAGCUCAAGAAUCCGAUCUUCAAACUAUGCGAUAGAAAUCCAUCUACGCCAUCAGAUUCAGCAUAUUCUUUCUUUAAGUUUCUUCACUUUUCUUUGAUUCUUAAA
rnacentral:lncRNA from 1 species